GCCCCAGCCCCGCUCCAUCCUCUUCCUCGCCCCUCGGGCCGCUUCUCCCCCCGCCCCGAGCCCGGCCGCCACCUCUGCCGCCAGCCAGCGGGAACGCUCGCCCCAUUCCCCGGCGAGAGCAAAGAUAUACAAAGCUCCGAGCCGCUGCUACAUUCAAAUAAUCAAGCCGUCAGCGAGGAGCGGGGAUGUGGGUUUAUCUGCAUCUUCCUUCUCUGCCUCUCGCUCUCUUUUUAAUGUAUUAUUUUGAGGGUAAAGUUGAAUAGGUCAGCGCAGGGUAAACAGCCUCCCUGUCGCAUUCUGCAGUCUGAAGAGAACCAGAUUGGCGAGGCGGAUUUUUGAUAAGACUUGGAAUAAAUGGCAUGGUUUAGAUCUCCUCUGCCCACCCUCCUCCUCUCCCCCCCACUCCCCUCUUGCCCUCCCCCCCAUCCCUUCUCCCUUUUCUGCCUCUCGGUCAUUUCUUUCGCUUUUCGCGGAAGUUUCAGCAAAUCGGCUAUUGCUGCGCGCCCUGGCAGGGCAGAGCCCGGCGCGGUGACGCCGGAGCCCUCUGAAAGUUGGCGGUGAGGAGAAAACACUUGGGCGAAACAUCCGUGCGGCAGCAGAGAGGAGGAGGAGGAAGAGGAGGAGGAGGAGGAGGGAGAGAGAAAAUCGAGAGCAACACCUAAGGAAGAGCGAGAAGUUGCUGCAGGAUCUGGACACUGCCGAGAUGGCUGCUCCCAGCUCCAUUCCCAGCACUGCAGAUAAACCCGGCUGCGCUGCCUGCCCCCUCCUCCGAACGCCAGGCCCUGCCGAAAAGCCGCAGCCCCGAGGAAAGCGGCGUCGGGGAGGACGGGCAGCAACCCCGGCGGCUGGUGCCCCCCGCGGGGGCUCGGCCCCUGCUCAAAAAUAACCGGGAUGCGGGGAAAAUCCACUGACGGCGCGAGGAGACUCGCUGCACUUUGCAACGCCUUUUCCCUCCGCCUGCGGGGAGCCAGGCUGGCAUUUACUGCCCAGAGGUGCUGGCGCUGGUUAAGCAGAAUAAGCCCUGCAGGCUUAUCCCAAAAUGAAAAAUAAGUGUCUUCCGCACGCCGGAUCCCCCCAGCUGUGCCCUGUCACCUCCCCGGGCCCCAGGCAGCGGGGACGGGGGGCACUGCCAUCACCCCUGCCCAGCUCCGGACCAGCCAGCCUGCUCCGAGCCUGGGCUGGGAACCAUCCGCCUUCCGCCUUUAGCUGGAGCCCCAAACCGCCCUGCUUAAACGGGCCGGACGCUGCUGGUCGUUCGGAUUUUGGGCCGGCAAACACAGCCCAGUGUGGGUAAAAUCCACGCAACACGGGCGAUACUAUACAUGUGCAUAUAUACAUAUUUAUAUGAAUGUGUAUGAGUAUGCAUGCACAUAUAUAUGAGUGCGGGUGCACACACACGCACAGUUUACAAAUAUACAUAUACUCACGAUGUCUUUUCCUUGCUGAAGCGUUUACGCGUAUUUUAUAUACGCAGACUGAAUAUGUAACACAUGCGUGAGUAUAAAGGCGUAUAGGUGUGUGUGAACAUGCAUGUCUGUUUAUAUGCGGGUGUAUAUACACAGUCACACACACACAUCACAAAUAAUGUAUGUGGGGAUAUCUGCAGAUAAUUAAAUCGUUAUGCACAACAGCC